rnacentral:lncRNA from 1 species
CAUCUACGGUUUUCAAUUCAAUAUAACAACAGAUUAAAUUUAAAAUUAAUUCUUUACAUUUGGAAUUGGAAUAAAAUGGCAACCUUAUCCCACUCAUUCCCUGCUUUUCUUUCAAAGCUCAUAAUCCAAUUCCAAUUCCAAUUCCAACCAUUUGUUUCUCUGAGUCAACCGGGCUGUCACCUCAUAACCGUGGAUGGGCCGCGAGGCGAUCAAAUAUCUAAAAAUCACUACUAUUUCUACUCUACCUAUUACAGCAUUCUACUUUAACAAGUACAAUGCUAUGUUGGCUAGAUUUUUACAAUCCCUUGUAGUAAAUAAAAAUUAUAAGUUCACUAUGUUGUAAUGAAAAAAGAAAUGGAAGUACAAGUACGUUUUAAUUCUUACAUUUCAGCCCUUAAUAAGGAGAGUCCAAUUCUGUGUAGAACAGAAUGAACUUAAGGUUGCUACUCAAAUUAAUUUUUCAGACAUAUAAAGAGGGGUGUUUAUGUUUAGAUGUGUGCCUGCAAAGUGAUUAUUGCAAUUCACAAUCAAUUGCUUAAAUCAAGUACACAUUUACCUCAAUCAGCUAAAUUUGACUAUGAAAUCGACAUCAGCUUUAGAACUAGAAGCACAUCCAAACACCCCCUUAACAACAAAAAGAUUAUAAUAAUAAUAAUAAUAAUAAUGCAGCAACUACAUGACACUUUGUCAAACUAUGACUUCAGUGUCAACAGCAGCAUGAAUGCAUGACAUAAAACAAAAGUAAUAAUGUAUAGGAUAAUUUACAAAAAAAUAGCAACAUACUUUACUCUUUUACCAAUUUAGACAACAUACUCUAUUUUUUUACCCAUACUUACGUUUUUUCUACCCAUUUUAGCCUUUUGUUUAUACUUUUUACCUAUAGUAGCAACAUCUAACCCCAAAUAGCAGCACAUUGCUAUUAUUAGUGAAGAUUAAAGAAAUAAAGGAAUGUUGCUAUUAUGGGUAAAAAAUUGGUAAAAAGAAUAAAGUAUGUUGCUAUUCAUAGUUAGUAGUUCUUAACAUCUAUGUUUUGUUGGAUUAUAAUUUAUACCAAAGAAUCCUAAGGGUGUUCAUGUUUGGCUUAACCUCAAAGUUUUAAAAAACCUAAACCUAAGUGAACCAUAUUUCAGUUAACCUUAGAAAAUCCAAGCUUCCUAGGGUAUCAUGGGAUGAGAUGCAAGUUUUUUCCUAAUUCUUUAUAAAGGAUUAGCAUAUCCAUACUGGAAAUGAGAUGCUGAAAAAGAGAAGUGGAAAUGAUGCAGAUGCAGGCUCCUCCUGUAUAGUAUAGAUGAUGUUCCUGUGAGUAUUUGUGGGAAUUAGUGACUCCCUUCCCCUUUGGCACCCAAACCACAAAUUAUUUUGUCAGGUAAAAGUAGACAGCAGCCGGCGACUCCCAUUCCCAUAAGUUUAAUGACCUAAAAACAAUUUCAUCCUAC